rnacentral:rRNA from 1 species
GACAGAGGAUGCAAGCGUUAUCCGGAAUGAUUGGGCGUAAAGCGUCCGCAGGUGGCUGUGUAAGUCUGCUGUUAAAUAGUGAGGCUCAACCUCAUAAAGGCAGUGGAAACUACACGGCUAGAGUGCGUUCGGGGCAGAGGGAAUUCCUGGUGUAGCGGUGAAAUGCGUAGAGAUCAGGAAGAACACCGGUGGCGAAAGCGCUCUGCUAGGCCGCAACUGACACUGAGGGACGAAAGCUAGGGGAGCGAAUGGG